rnacentral:lncRNA from 1 species
CCCGAACGGCUCAGUGCCACGCAAAGGGCAGAAGUUUUAUGGGAAAGUAUUUCUGCCUUAGCUAACAGUCUUCAUUAAGCGCUAACCGAGACGCUAAUUCCAGCAUCAGGAAGAAGACGUGACGCAACAACCACUGGUAGAAUUUAUAAGCAAGUUGACUGCACUGUACUGCAAGGUUAACAAGGAAAUGUGAAGAACUGUUCUUUUGACAGAGGAAGAAAAUACAUCACAUUGCUCAAAAUACUUAUCUCCCAGACAGUAGUUAUCACUCCUUACGCUCUGGCAAACAUCCUCGGGAAGAUUCUUAAGCCCAGGCUACAGAG